rnacentral:rRNA from 1 species
UACAGAGGGUGCGAGCGUUAAUCGGAAUUACUGGGCGUAAAGCGCACGUAGUCGGCUUUGCAAGUCGGGUGUGAAAUCCCCGGGCUCAACCUGGGAACUGCAUCCGAGACUGCAUUGCUAGAGUAUGGGAGAGGGAAGCGGAAUUUCUGGUGUAGCAGUGAAAUGCGUAGAUAUCAGAAGGAACAUCAGUGGCGAAGGCGGCUUCCUGGACCAAUACUGACGAUCAGGUGCGAAAGCGUGGGGAGCAA